rnacentral:rRNA from 1 species
CCUACGGGUGGCAGCAGUGGGGAAUAUUGGACAAUGGGCGAAAGCCUGAUCCAGCCAUGCCGCGUGUGUGAAGAAGGCCUUCGGGUUGUAAAGCACUUUCAGUGGGGAAGAAAGCCUUGGGGCUAAUACCCUCGAGGAAGGACAUCACCCACAGAAGAAGCACCGGCUAACUCCGUGCCAGCAGCCGCGGUAAUACGGAGGGUGCGAGCGUUAAUCGGAAUUACUGGGCGUAAAGCGCGCGUAGGCGGUCUGAUAAGCCGGUUGUGAAAGCCCCGGGUCAACCUGGGAACGGCAUCCGGAACUGUCAGGCUAGAGUGUAGGCGAGGAAGGUAGAAUUCCCGGUGUAGCGGUGAAAUGCGUAGAGAUCGGGAGGAAUACCAGUGGCGAAGGCGGCCUUCUGGACUGACACUGACGCUGAGGUGCGAAAGCGUGGGUAGCAAACAGGAUUAGAUACCCUGGUAGUC